GGGGGAAUGGCUGAGUGGUUGAAAGCACCGGUUUUGAAAAUCGGGAGUGCAUAAGCGUUCUAGAGUUCGAAUCUCUAUUCCCCCGCCA
rnacentral:tRNA from 1 species